CAGACAAGGAGCUUGCUCCUUUGACGUUAGCGGCGGACGGGUGAGUAACACGUGGGUAACCUACCUAUAAGACUGGGAUAACUUCGGGAAACCGGAGCUAAUACCGGAUAAUAUUUCGAACCGCAUGGUUCGAUAGUGAAAGAUGGUUUUGCUAUCACUUAUAGAUGGACCCGCGCCGUAUUAGCUAGUUGGUAAGGUAACGGCUUACCAAGGCGACGAUACGUAGCCGACCUGAGAGGGUGAUCGGCCACACUGGAACUGAGACACGGUCCAGACUCCUACGGGAGGCAGCAGUAGGGAAUCUUCCGCAAUGGGCGAAAGCCUGACGGAGCAACGCCGCGUGAGUGAUGAAGGUCUUCGGAUCGUAAAACUCUGUUAUUAGGGAAGAACAUACGUGUAAGUAACUAUGCACGUCUUGACGGUACCUAAUCAGAAAGCCACGGCUAACUACGUGCCAGCAGCCGCGGUAAUACGUAGGUGGCAAGCGUUAUCCGGAAUUAUUGGGCGUAAAGCGCGCGUAGGCGGUUUUUUAAGUCUGAUGUGAAAGCCCACGGCUCAACCGUGGAGGGUCAUUGGAAACUGGAAAACUUGAGUGCA
rnacentral:rRNA from 1 species